rnacentral:sRNA from 1 species
UGGAAAUUUCUGCCACAUGCCUGUUGA